CCUACGGGAGGCAGCAGUGGGGAAUAUUGCACAAUGGGGGAAACCCUGAUGCAGCGACGCCGCGUGAGUGAAGAAGUCUUUCGGUAUGUAAAGCUCUAUCAGCAGGGGAGAAAAUGACGGUACCUGUGUACUAAGCCCCGGCUAACGACGUGCCAGCAGCCGCGGGCAUACGUAGGGGGAACGCGUUAUCCGGAUUGACUGGGUGUAAAGGGAGCGUAGACGGCAGCACAGGUCUGGAGUGAAAUGCCGGGGCUUAACCCCGGAACUGCUGUGGAAACUGUGGAGCUUGAGUGGAGGAGAGGUAAGUGGAAUGCGUAGUGUAGCGGUGAAAUGCGUAGAUAUUAGGAGGAACACCAGUGGCGAAGGCGGCUUACUGGACUGUAACUGACGUUGAGGCUCGAAAGCGUGGGGAGCAAACAGGAUUAGAUACCCGGGUAGUC
rnacentral:rRNA from 1 species